rnacentral:hammerhead_ribozyme from 1 species
AUCCAGUUGAUGAGUCCCAAAUAGGACGAAAUGCGCUUUGUCUUGGAU